rnacentral:rRNA from 1 species
CUGCAGUCGAGGGGCAGCGCAGUGUAGCAAUACAUGGGCGGCGACCGGCAAACGGGUGCGGAACACGUACGCAACCUUCCUUCAAGCGGGGGAUAGCUUUAGGAAACGAAAAUUAAUACCCCAUAGCAAUGUCUGAUGGCAUCUGAGGGCAUUUAAAGAUUUAUCACUUGAAGAUGGGCGUGCGCCUGAUUAGGUAGUUGGCGGGGUAACGGCCCACCAAGCCUACGAUCAGUAACUGGUGUGAGAGCACGACCAGUCACACGGGCACUGAGACACGGGCCCGACUCCUACGGGAGGCAGCAGUAAGGAAUAUUGGUCAAUGGACGCAAGUCUGAACCAGCCAUGCCGCGUGGAGGAUGAAGGUCCUCUGGAUUGUAAACUUCUUUUAUCGGAGAAGAAACCCCUGAAUUCUUUUAGGGUUGACGGUACCCGAUGAAUAAGCACCGGCUAACUCCGUGCCAGCAGCCGCGGUAAUACGGAGGGUGCAAGCGUUAUCCGGAUUCACUGGGUUUAAAGGGAGCGUAGGUGGGCUGGUAAGUCAGUGGUGAAAUCUCCGGGCUUAACUCGGAAACUGCCGUUGAUACUAUCAGUCUUGAAUGUUGUGGAGGUAAGCGGAAUAUGUCAUGUAGCGGUGAAAUGCUUAGAUAUGACAUAGAACACCGAUAGCGAAGGCAGCUUGCUACACAAUUAUUGACACUGAGGCUCGAAAGCGUGGGGAUCAAACAGGAUUAGAUACCCUGGUAGUCCACGCCCUAAACGAUGGAUACUCGACAUACGCGAUACACAGUGUGUGUCUGAGCGAAAGCAUUAAGUAUCCCACCUGGGAAGUACGACCGCCAAGGUUGAGACUC